rnacentral:rRNA from 1 species
GGCGAACGCUGGCGGCGUGCUUAACACAUGCAAGUCGAACGGAAAGGCCCUGCUUUUGUGGGGUGCUCGAGUGGCGAACGGGUGAGUAACACGUGAGUAACCUGCCCUUGACUUUGGGAUAACUUCAGGAAACUGGGGCUAAUACCGGAUAGGAGCUCCUGCUGCAUGGUGGGGGUUGGAAAGUUUCGGCGGUUGGGGAUGGACUCGCGGCUUAUCAGCUUGUUGGUGGGGUAGUGGCUUACCAAGGCUUUGACGGGUAGCCGGCCUGAGAGGGUGACCGGCCACAUUGGGACUGAGAUACAGCCCAGACUCCUACGGGAGGCAGCAGUGGGGAAUAUUGCACAAUGGGCGGAAGCCUGAUGCAGCAACGCCGCGUGCGGGAUGACGGCCUUCGGGUUGUAAACCGCUUUCGCCUGUGACGAAGCGUGAGUGACGGUAAUGGGUAAAGAAGCACCGGCUAACUACGUG